CUUCAUCAUUUUGGUCCUGUUUCAGCCCAUACUAUAUGGUCAAUACAUAAGCAAUACUGUGAGCUGAAAUUUUAUUUCAUUACAGUUAAGCACAUGCUUAAAUGAUUUGCUGGACUGAGGCCAGAAUGCUUACUGAAUCCGUGAAAUCCAGCAAUGUCUGUUCUUCCCCCUUAAACAAACAACCACUAAAUGCAAUACAAUAAAAUAACAUUCCCAGAGAAAUCCAUGCCACAGAAAGAACUGCUGCACUGUUGUAUUAGUAAUUUGUCUAAUGCCCAGCAUCUGCGCUGUUCAUACAAGUGUAACGCAGUAGUAAUUGGGUAAGACGUCAAUUUUAUCCUCAUGUUUUAUUGGACAUGCUUUUGUAGAGGAAGAAAGUAAAAUGAAACUAAGUCUGAAUACAAAAGAUGGAAAUGUAUUUCCAAAUUGCUUAACUUAAUAAAGUAAAUAAUGAUAUUGCUGUGUUUACAGUACCAGUGGAACCCUGAAAAACUCUGGAUUCACUUCCCUCCUUCAUUGUAGGGUGUCCAACCCAGGACUUACGCAGUGAGACUUACCUUACAGAGCUAUGUCAGGCUCUCUGAGGCUAGCUUCAUCAAAGCUAUUGAUUUAAUGCCUAUUUCUGGUAUAAGUGGUAAAAUAAGAAUAACACUAGUUAUUAGAUAUUCUGUGUUAAUUUUUCAACCAUGCUGAAACAUGACCCAUCUGUUUUCUAUUCUAACUAGAGCCAAUUUAUUAUAUUCUGAUUUUUAUUGUACUUAGUUGCUAGGAGCAUUAAAUAUAUUGUCAAGUAAGCCAGAGAUAACAACCAGAAAACCUGUAAAAGAAGGCACAAAUAUUGGACAAUACUCAAGUCCUAUCAAGUACCUGUGAACUGUGAAUACUAAGAGCCAGUGAAUUAGCAGGAAUCUCUUUUGACUUUAUUCUAAUCUGAAUCAAAUCCUAAACCACAGUGAGUUGUUCCUGUGGGGAGGGCAGUUUUUACUAUUUUUCUUCACCUAAAUUUGCAAUGCAGUGCAGCUUACAAAAUGUCUUUUUUAUGUGUGCAUUCCCAUUAUCAAACAAAGCAGUAUUUUUAAGUCUUUAGACCUUCAGUACAUUCAUGAUACUCCACUGCUUGCAGUGGAGAUAUGGGUACUCUUCCAUCUUUAGAAUUCUUUGGUAUUUCAGAAUGCUAAAUAUUCCACAAAGCUUUCUCCUCUGUUUCCAAGAUAGGCAGCUAAGGCAGAAGAAUCAAGUGAUUUAUGCAGAGCUAUUGGAGGAUAAGCUCUUGUGGCUUCAAAGUAGAAGCUGUUGGUUCUCUAUCUUGUAUCCUAACUUUAUCUCCUCAGGUCUUGCCGUCUUUCACCCCUAAUUUUCUUACAAUGAAACUAAGUAACUGUUAUUAAUGGAGUACUUAUUCAACUUCUUCCCCAGAGAAUGACCCAUCCUUGAUUUUCUGCACUGAAGUUGUGAGUUUACUAGCAGUCUCUCAGCCCUAGACGCAGAAGUCUUGCUGCCUAGAUGCAACAGCAGUAUUGGGACUCAACUGAAAGGUCUGCUUUACACAUUUUCCAAAAUACAAGUUUCUGUUUGUUUUGAACUUCCUAAUAUUAUUUCUUUCUUCUUUCACUUUGUAAUGUUGUAAUUGUAUUAUAAGCGACUACAGCUGGGUAAAUUAAGAAUGUAACUGGAAAAAUUAAACAGAGAAAUGCCAACUGAUCCUGUCCUGGUUCCCACUGAAACCUACUGAUUUAGCAUUUGGAUCUGUCAGAUUAUCUAUGAGCUAGUAAGUGAAGGAGGGCUAAGACACAGAUGUUAGCAGUGGGCUGUGACUGUCCCCACUGUUACAUCACCAUCACACUUGCUGUCAGGGCUUUGCCUCAACCAGUGUUUCCCCAGCCAUGUUCAGGCACAGCUAUGGGUUAGCAGGGGCCAGGGAGCACUCCCUGUAAGCAGUCUGCAUGUGGGCACCGUGUGCUGGACACUGGAGGACUUAGUUUUAAGAAUGUAAAUAGCUAGGCAUAGUUGUAUAUAAUGUACCACACCAUACCAGUUUGAUUUAGGUCCAGAGACAGCCCAUUGAAAUUACUGUAAUAACUAAUAAUUUUUCAUGCCUGAAUGAACAAAGGGUCUUUCAAUUUCAGUCUUUCAAUUACUUUUACAGCAAUUAGACCCACUCAGUUUUAGAUGUCUUCUAACACAGCUUUUGUUUUUAUACCAAGCAACUUAAUUAAUUGCAGCUCACAUUCAUGCAUGGUGCCAAGAAGAGUUUUCCCAAGGUCAAAGGAUUUUUCCUGCUGUCCUGGCAUUUGGACAUAUACAGGUCUCAGCUGACAUACAGAGCCAGGUAAGAAAUCCAGCCUCCAGCUGUGCCUCUGUUUUUAAUCCAGAACUAUCUUCCUCAUUCUUUUUGAUUCUUUUAUGCAACAGGAAUGUGGCCAGACAAGGCUGUAACAUCACACCUUCUUUCCUCCCUGCUUUCCAGAACUGAGUCUCAGAUGCAAAAUAAACAUGCAGUCAAUAGAUUACUUGCUGAUUGAAAGUUUCCCCGUGGUGAUAUAUGUACAGUAUCCCAUAAUUAGGACACUCUUUCUGCAUACCAUGAACUUUCUUCAGUUCAGAACGUUCCUAAGAGCAUUACUACAUUUUAUAAAUCAUGUUCAUAAUAAAUAUUAAUUGCACAUACAUAUCAAAUUCAAAAGCUCUAGCUCUCAUUUGGACUGCAUAUCACAUAUUACCCAUAGAGAUGACAUACCUGGCAUUUAGGUGAUUUUUCUUAAUUAAUUCCUCCUACACCAUAGGUUAGGGUCUUGUCAUCUUGAACACACACACCUGCAAAGAUGACACUUCCAUACUAUCUUAUCACUCAGGGACAUUUGUCUAACACAAUUUGGCUUGCACAAUUCCUUCAGUGACACUUGGUAAGUCAACAUAAUUGUAUGUGGAUACAGAUUUCUGCUGAAUAACAGAUUCUCAAGAGAUUUUGCAGAAAGCAUGAAUGUUUCUUGGUUGCAUAAUAAGAACCAGUUGCUCCUAAAAGCUGUAUGAGAUUCCACAGGAGACUUGUACAAGAGCCAUCAAUCCCAAAAGACUGUUUUGAUAUGGAGAGAGGGCAGUCAUGUAAAAAAAUCUGCUUUCUGAAGAUUUUGUAUCUGAUAGGGGACAGGAGACUUGAAUGUAUUCUGGAGAAGUACUGCUUAUCUCUAUAAACCCAAAAUCUGGACUUGCUGUCCAAACAGUGAGUAGGGUUUGCUGUCUGGGUGCAACAACACUGGUGAAAGAGAAGCUUUUGAUGUAUGUGAAGGAGCAGCUUCUGUGAGACAUUGUGGUUGGCAGGAAAAGAUUUCAGUAAAUUGAGAGACCUCAUUGCACUCUACAGCUUCCUGAAGGGAGGUUGUGAUGAGGAGGGGGUCAGCCUCUUCUCCCAGACAACAAACGGGACCUGAGGAAAUGGACACAAGUUGUGCAGGGGAGAUUUAGAUUAGACAUAAGGAAAAACUUUUUCUCUCAAAGAGUGGUCAGGCACUGGAAUGGCAUGCCCAGGGAGCUGGUGGAGUCACCAUUCCUGGUGGUGUUCAAGAGGCGUCUGGAUGAUGUGCUAUGAGAUAUGGUUUAGUAGCUUAGCGGGUAGUAAUGGUGAUAGGAGGAUGGUUGGUCUAGAUGAUCUUGUAGGUCCUUUCCAACCUUGUGAUUCUAUGAUUAUUAGACUUAGUAGGAGGGCAUGGUAUUCUUAUUUGCACGCAGAGGCUGCUGCUGUAUUUUUUUCAAGUUUAUGACAGUGUCCACUCUUUUAAAGAUUUCCUUUCUUGCACACAGCUACAGAGGUCUUUCAAGUGGGAGAAAUUCUUCAUGCUGCAAGUGCAUGAGGGAGCCUGCUUUUGCUUUUCCCAGGUUUCAAAUAAUCCAAGAAUCAUAUAAUUGUUUGAGUUGGAAGGGACCUUCAAAGAUAUCUAGUUCAACUCCCCUGCAAUGAACAGGGGCAACUAAAUCAGAAUGUUGGGAUAAAUACCAAAGUCCAAACUCUUCCAGUCAUGUGGAAUGUCAUGUCAUUCUCAUGUGACUAGUGAU
ensembl:lncRNA